AAGCAAGAGCGACGCAAGAUGGCAGCCACCACGGGCUCGGGAGUAAAAGUCCCUCGCAAUUUCCGACUGUUGGAAGAACUCGAAGAAGGCCAGAAAGGAGUAGGAGAUGGCACAGUUAGCUGGGGUCUAGAAGAUGACGAAGACAUGACACUUACAAGAUGGACAGGGAUGAUAAUUGGGCCUCCAAGAAAUUUUCUGCGUCUGCUAAAUACCGGGGAAAACCCAAUCUAGAAAUCCUGUUUCUCCAUGGAGAUAAUUUUCUUUGCUGUCUCUGAAGGUCCAUCAUAUGCUGACAUCUUCUUCACUGCAUGUCUUCUCUUCCUAAGAAUGAUUUCGGUUUCUUGAGGAUGAGAACUGUGCUUCCCUCCUUACUUCCCAGAAUACCUAGAAAUGACUCAGAAUGGGGUACUCAGUAGAUUUGUUAAUCAACUUACUGAUUUACAGGUUCUAAAAUACUGAGAAUUGAACCAAUGUACAACAUUGCGAUACACUAAAUACCACUGAAUUGUACACUUUCAAAAAAACACACAAAACAAUGCAUCAGUAAAUUCUGCUGAAAAUAUUCUGUCUGCCUAAAACAGCUUGGGCUACCCUGAAUUUCAGUUUAUCUCUUUCCAAAAGAGGCUUU
rnacentral:lncRNA from 1 species